rnacentral:rRNA from 1 species
GCAAGGUUAAAACUCAAAUGAAUUGACGGGGGCCCGCACAAGCGGUGGAGCAUGUGGUUUAAUUCGAUGCAACGCGAAGAACCUUACCUACCCUUGACAUGUAGUGAACUUACCAGAGAUGGUUCGGUGCCUUCGGGAACACUAACACAGGUGCUGCAUGGCUGUCGUCAGCUCGUGUCGUGAGAUGUUGGGUUAAGUCCCGUAACGAGCGCAACCCUUAUCUUUAGUUGCUAGCAGGUAAUGCUGAGAACUCUAGGGAGACUGCCAGUGAUAAACUGGAGGAAGGUGGGGACGACGUCAAGUCAUCAUGGCCCUUAUGGGUAGGGCUACACACGUGCUACAAUGGUCGGUACAGAGGGCCGCAAACUCGCGAGAGUAAGCAAAUCCCAGAAAGCCGAUCUUAGUCCGGAUUGCAGUCUGCAACUCGACUGCAUGAAGUUGGAAUCGCUAGUAAUCGCGGAUCAGAAUGCCGCGGUGAAUACGUUCCCGGGCCUUGUACACACCGCCCGUCACACCAUGGGAGUGGGUUGCAAAAGAAGUAGGUAGUCUAACCUUCGGGAGGGCGCUUACCACUUUGUGAUUCAUGACUGGGGUGAAGUCGUAACAAGGUA